rnacentral:snRNA from 1 species
GUGCUUGUUUCAGCAGCACAUAUACUAAAAUUGGAAUGACACAGAGAAGAUUAGCAUGGCCCCUGAGCAAGGAUGACAUGAAAAGAAAAAAAAAACUAAAAAAAAAC